GGUCAGGAUGAACGCUGGCGGCGUGCUUAACACAUGCAAGUCGAACGGAGUUUUAACGGAAGUUUCGGAUGGAAGUUUAAGAACUUAGUGGCGGACGGGUGAGUAACGCGUGGGUAACCUGCCUCAUACAGGGGGAUAACAGUUAGAAAUGACUGCUAACACCGCAUAAUAUAGCGAAACCGCAUGAUUUUGCUAUCAAAUAUUUAUAGGUAUGAGAUGGGCCCGCGUCUGAUUAGCUAGUUGGUGGGGUAAAAGCCUACCAAGGCGACGAUCAGUAGCCGGCUUGAGAGAGUGACCGGCCACAUUGGGACUGAGACACGGCCCAAACUCCUACGGGAGGCAGCAGUGGGGAAUAUUGGACAAUGGGGGAAACCCUGAUCCAGCGAACCGCCGCGUGAGUGAAGAAGUAUUUCGGUAUGUAAAGCUCUAUCAGCAGGGAAGAUAAUGACAGUACCUGACUAAGAAGCCCCGGCUAACUACGUGCCAGCCGCUGC
rnacentral:rRNA from 1 species